ACUGGGGAGUAUCGAGACUGGUCUGAAUGCUCCCCAGUCUGAGGUAUCUCCUGUUAUAAUUUUUAAAAUGAGAUAAUUCAGACUGGAGAGUAUUGAGACUGGUCUGAAUGCUCCCCAGUCUGGGGUAUCUCCUGUUAUAAUUUUAUAAAUGAGAUAACUCUGCCCCUGAGGAGCAUUCAGACCAGUCUCGAUACUCCCCAGU